GUGAGUAACCUGCCCCUGACUCUGGGAUAAGCGUUGGAAACGACGUCUAAUACUGGAUAUGAUCACUGGCCGCAUGGUCUGGUGGUGGAAAGAUUUUUUGGUUGGGGAUGGACUCGCGGCCUAUCAGCUUGUUGGUGAGGUAAUGGCUCACCAAGGCGACGACGGGUAGCCGGCCUGAGAGGGUGACCGGCCACACUGGGACUGAGACACGGCCCAGACUCCUACGGGAGGCAGCAGUGGGGAAUAUUGCACAAUGGGCGAAAGCCUGAUGCAGCAACGCCGCGUGAGGGAUGACGGCCUUCGGGUUGUAAACCUCUUUUAGUAGGGAAGAAGCGAAAGUGACGGUACCUGCAGAAAAAGCACCGGCUAACUACGUGCCAGCAGCCGCGGUAAUACGUAGGGUGCAAGCGUUGUCC
rnacentral:rRNA from 2 species